rnacentral:rRNA from 1 species
AGAGAAUUACAAGUAAAAACUUGAAACUCAAAGGACUUGACGGCAUACCACAUCACCCUAGAGGAGCCUGUCCUAUAACCGAUAACCCACGUUACACCUCACCUGUCCUAGCACCACACCAGCCUAUAUACCGCCGCCUUCAGCCCGCCUUGCAAAAGAACCAACAGCGGACAACACAGUCCAACACCAAUACGCCAGGUCAAGGUGUAGCCAACGGACAGGAAGAGAUGGGCUACAUUUUCUACCCAUCAGAACACACCCAAAGCAACAUGAAAUCUGCGCUCAAAGGUGGAUUUAGCAGUAAGCCGCGCAAGAUGUGCACGACUGAAGCCAG